UACGUAGGUGGCAAGCGUUGUCCGGAAUUAUUGGGCGUAAAGCGCGCGCAGGUGGUUCCUUAAGUCUGAUGUGAAAGCCCACGGCUCAACCGUGGAGGGUCAUUGGAAACUGGGGAACUUGAGUGCAGAAGAGGAAAGUGGAAUUCCAAGUGUAGCGGUGAAAUGCGUAGAUAUCAGUCGGAACACCGGUGGCGAAGGCGGCUUCUUGGGCCCUACCUGACGCUGAGGCGCGAAAGCCAGGGGAGCGAACGGG
rnacentral:rRNA from 1 species